rnacentral:rRNA from 1 species
AGAGUUUGAUCAUGGCUCAGGACGAACGCUGGCGGCGCGCCUAACACAUGCAAGUCGAACGAGCGAGAGAGAGCUUGCUUUCUCAAGCGAGUGGCGAACGGGUGAGUAACGCGUGAGGAACCUGCCUCAAAGAGGGGGACAACAGUUGGAAACGACUGCUAAUACCGCAUAAGCCCACGACCCGGCAUCGGGUUGAGGGAAAAGGAGCAAUCCGCUUUGGGAUGGCCUCGCGUCCGAUUAGCUAGUUGGUGAGGUAACGGCCCACCAAGGCGACGAUCGGUAGCCGGACUGAGAGGUUGAACGGCCACAUUGGGACUGAGACACGGCCCAGACUCCUACGGGAGGCAGCAGUGGGGAAUAUUGCACAAUGGGGGAAACCCUGAUGCAGCGACGCCGCGUGGAGGAAGAAGGUCUUCGGAUUGUAAACUCCUGUUGUUGAGGAAGAUAAUGACGGUACUCAACAAGGAAGUGACGGCUAACUACGUGCCAGCAGCCGCGGUAAAACGUAGGUCACAAGCGUUGUCCGGAAUUACUGGGUGUAAAGGGAGCGCAGGCGGGAAGACAAGUUGGAAGUGAAAUCUAUGGGCUCAACCCAUAAACUGCUUUCAAAACUGUUUUUCUUGAGUAGUGCAGAGGUAGGCGGAAUUCCCGGUGUAGCGGUGGAAUGCGUAGAUAUCGGGAGGAACACCAGUGGCGAAGGCGGCCUACUGGGCACCAACUGACGCUGAGGCUCGAAAGUGUGGGUAGCAAACAGGAUUAGAUACCCUGGUAGUCCACACCGUAAACGAUGAUUACUAGGUGUUGGAGGAUUGACCCCUUCAGUGCCGCAGUU